rfam:Schistosoma mansoni strain Puerto Rico chromosome 6, complete genome
AUCCAGAUGACGAGCCGCAAAUAGGACGAAACGCGUUUCCUGGAU